GCCUGGCUGGCUCAGUCAGUAGAGCAUGUGACUCUUAAUCAUAGGGUUGUAAGUUCGAGCCCUAUAUUGGGUA
rnacentral:tRNA from 1 species